GCUGCGGUCGCCUAACAUGGUAUGGCACGGGAUACAAUCCCGCGUAGCUUGCUACUUGUGGGUUCAAAUCCCACCCGCAGCG
rnacentral:tRNA from 1 species